GGAAGGUUAUCCUACAAUUGCACCAGAAGAUGAUUGUCAUAUAUCUGUGUAGGAAGGAACAGCAGAUGCUGGUUUGGGAAGGGUCUCAACACGAAACAUCACCCAUUCCUUCUCUCCAGAGACGCUGCCUGUCCCGCUGAGUUACUGCAGCUUUUUGUGUCUAUCUAUGGUCAUAUAACUCUUUGCUUAAUCUAUUCAACAAUCAUGUGAAGGUAUAUUUUAAAUUGUCAUUUACAACUUUCCCUUCUCAUUUUGAUAACAGUAUUGGGCUGGUGGAAGCAGAUCGAUUCCUGUUUACAUCCUCUGUGGAUUGUACUGUGAAGCUGUGGAGUGUUAAAGGAGAGUUUGUAGGUGUCUUUGGCCAAGGUAAACCGUGGAAUAUUCAUAGAAGCCUUUCAGAAAAUAAUCCGGGGCAAUCUAUAAUCACCAAGGAGUCAAAUUCACAAUGUGAUGGCGGAACUAAUGAGAGAGUUAGAAGUAAAUCGGAGACUGCACUGUUCCUACUCAAAACGAAAUAUCAAGAAGUUACAAAAGACAUAGAACAGGUGGAUUCUGUUAUCAAGAUGAGAUUGCAGGAACAGAAGCGGAAGCAUAUUGAAAAACAACAAGUUUAUGGAAGGCCGGCUGCAUAUCAGUCACUGCAUUGUCAUGAUUUGGCCGACACUUCAAUGAAGAUCUUGAAGCCUGAUCCAGCAACAGAACUGUUCCCUGUUAAUAACAUCAUUUCAGAGCCCUGAAACCCCAAAGUAGAACAUGGCAGUAUUUAUAAAUUACAUUGAUAACCUGUGAUUGAUAUUGAUAUUUUAAAUCACUAUAAAUAGGAUUCUAGAUAUACUCUUCAAAUAUAGUCACUAAUAUUGCAUUUCCUACUGAUGGUGAUAGUGGAGGAUAGCUAGACUAGAUGCCCUGCUUUUUGAGGAUCUAUCUGGACAUCUGUAUAUUUGUGUUGAAAUUAAUUGGGUGGUUCUUGCAUCAAGUUGCAUCCAGGAUACUAAAGGAAGAAUAACCCAUAUUUUCUCUUGUGGUGUCAGUCAUUUCUUAUGUGUGAAUCAAAUUUACUAGUCAAGGUUCUGUGAUAGUGCAGUAUACAUUCUGGCUGAAAUGGCCCAUCAUCAUUUGCAACUGGAUAUGUGAAGAUUGCAGGACUUUAACU